UGUUUGAAACAACAAACUGCAACAUCUGAAUGAACAUGGAAAGUGGCCUGAAUCUUUCUCGGGAUGAUUUUAGAUUUCAGGUAAGAAAAAGUACCUAUUUUUAAAUUGUUAAUAGAACUUAUAAUUAACUGUAUUGUUUUGUGUGUGUUGUAUUGAAAACAAACAAACUGCAACAUCUGAAUGAAGGUGGAAAGCAGCCUGAAUCUUUCUUGGGAUGAUUUUCCGAUUUCAGGUAAGAAAAAGUACCUAUUUUUAAAUUGUUAAUAGAACUCAUAAUUAACUAUAUUGUUUUGUGAGUGUGUGUGUGUGUGGAGUGUGUGUGUGUAUUCUUAUACUGAAUAAAACAAACAACCUGCAACAUCUGAAUGAAGGUGGAAAGCAGCCUGAAUCGUUCUUGCGAUGAUUUUCAAUUUCAGGUGGAAAGCAGCCUGAAUCUUUCUUGGGAUGAUUUUCCGAUUUCAGGUGGAAAGCAGCCUACUUGGCAUGAUUUUUGAUUUCAGGUGGAAAGCAGCCUGAAUCGUUCUUGGGAUGAUUUUCAAUUUCAGGUAAGAAAAAGUACAUAUUUUUGAAUUGUUAAUAGAACUCAUAAUUAACUAUAUAUUGUGUGUGUGUGUGUGUGUGAAGGUGGAAAGCAGUCUGAAUCUUUCUUAGGAUGAUUUUUGAUUACAAUUUCUAUAUACACUUUGAAUCUCAUUUGACACAACAGUCGGUUAUGUAUGGAAGUGAUAGUCUCAUCCUCAGACGUUGUGCCCAUUGAAUGCUGGCUGAACAUCUGAUGCAUACGGCACACAAAAUCAGAGACACUACAGUCAUCUGAUUGAUUCAAUUCUACAGGAUUUCCGGAAGAUGUGUGUGUCAUGUUUUUUUGAUGCAAAUUUUUUCAGAACAAACACAAAAGCAUUAAAAUAUCAUUCUUCCUCCCAUCUCAUAUUUUUGUCUUUGAAGGGGCUCCAUACUACAAAGAACAGUAAUAACAUACCUUUACUGAGUUUUUCUUGUUUUAUAAAUGAAUAAAAAAUUAAUAGGUUUCCCUAGAUAGACAACAUACACAACUGCCGUUAGAAAGUGUGUUUAGUACAACAUUAAGCUUAAAGAUUUGGGGAUAUUGCAGUAAUAUGAUGAAAUUAACCCUAUAAAGCCUGUAUCAUAUGUGAAUUUUUAAGGCCUCUAAAUUAUCAGCACGAUCAGAAUUUUGCUGAAAAACCUGUUGCACAUGAUCUACUACAUGCUUUGUUUUGUCUGAUUGAUUAUGUCGUCUGAUUAAGUUCAUACUUUUUUAGCAAGUAAAAGACAUUUUAGUAUCAUUCUAAAAUGUCCACCUUCAUUUUUAGAAAGUAAACGCAAUAAUUUUCAUAUUGUUACUUACAUUUGAAAAUAAACAUUUACUAGACUGAAGCAACUUAGGUUUACUGGAUUAUACAUAUUAUUGUUAUACUGGAUUAUUGUUAAUAUGUGAGUUUCAAAUAUGAUACAUCAUUGUUGUAUUGCUUUGUAUAAUAUUUUGCUUUUGAUCAUAAAGUUAAGCAUUAUAUAACAUCUCAGACAUAUUGUGAAAUGUAAAGGGAUAACUGAUAUUUAUAUGCAUUUUAUGUAAGUAGUCUACUAUGUUAAAAAUACUUUUUUCAUCUUACUUUUUGACCAUAUAAAUUCCAGCAAAUUGCAUAUUUUUGGGCCUCUGAAUAAAGUCCCCUUCUUCACUAUGAGCUCCAUAUUCUGACUAUAUUAUAUUAUAUGAGCCAUAAAACAGAUAUAUGUAUCAAAUAUUAUACGCAACAUAAAAUACAAACCUUUCCUUAAAGAUGUUUUUUGUAACGUGUAAUGGUUCAAUAAACGGAUACAUAAAAAAAAAGGGCUAUAAUUUUGUAUAUCAGGCUUUACAGGAUUAGAAAUUAAUUGUUGGAUCCUUAAAACCUCAAAUUGGGGUGUGUGAUUGAUUCAGCCCAUG